UUGCUGUGAUGAUACUUUACCCUGAUAAAAGUGAUGUUUAUAAUAGAGCUUUUUAAAACUGAGCAAC